rnacentral:lncRNA from 1 species
AGUAUUCUGCUAGCAGCCUUCAGAUGAGGAUGUAGAACUCUCAGCUCCUGCACCAUGCCUGCCUGGAUGCUGUCAUGUUCCUGCCUUGAUAAUAGACUGAACCUAUACAAGGGCGAGCACAGGCAGAAGCAGAGACGUCUGGGAGAAUCCAGAGUGGACAGGACCAUGACUGACCAACUAGAGCAGCUCUGCCCAAAGCUGGGCUGUGAACUGAAUUGGGCAGAACUGGAAUUUAUGAUUUGAGCACUUCCACACAAACCUCCUUCACACCACCCUGCUCUGCAGUGAAAGUCUAAGAAGCUGAGAGGAACUAAGUCCUGAGAGGGAACCAGUCCCUGAAGCACGUGGUGAGCAUAAGAAAAACAACAAAGCUUCAUCCAGCAUCCACAGCACCAGCACACGUGACUGCUGCAGCGGCCACUGAGAGCGAGAGGGAAAUAUCAGCCCCGGGGAAGAGUAGGAAGCGGUGGCCACAAGGCAGCCUGAAUGCUGGUUUAUCACUUUGGAAUUCAGCUCCACUCAAGCUUUUCAGGAGAUGGGCAGAAGGCAGCAGCAGAGUCUUUUCCAAACUGUAACACGAGUGCCCGUAGUCGGAUUUCCAAGCCUGUCUGAACCUUGGGAACCUGGGGCUCCAUGUCUCUCUCAGCACUCUGGACUUCUGAACUCCUACCAGAAUAUCUCUUUAAGCCCUAAUUACAGCAUCCACAGCUUCUCUGACCUGCAGCUUCAAACUUUUCCAUGAUCUAGUUCCAUAAGUCUAUGAACCAUAUGAGUCGGGUUUAUCACAGUGACAGCCCUACUUCUGGUACUAUUUUUUUGUAUUAGUUACUUAGCUUGUUGGUGUCACAAAAUACCUAAUAAAAGCAAGCUACAAGAGGAAGGGCAAGAAAAGAAAAAAAAAAA